GCUGGUGUGGUGGCGCACACCUGUAAUCCCAGUGACUUGUGAGGCUGAGGCAGGAGGAUCAUAAGUUCAAGGAUAGCCUUGGUAACUUAGUGAGACCCUGUCUCAA
rnacentral:sRNA from 1 species